rnacentral:rRNA from 1 species
CUUAACACAUGCAAGUCGAGCGCACCUUCGGGUGAGCGGCGGACGGGUUAGUAACGCGUGGGAACAUACCCUUUGGUACGGAAUAGCCUCUGGAAACGGAGAGUAAUACCGUAUGAGCCCUUCGGGGGAAAGAUUUAUCGCCAAAGGAUUGGCCCGCGUUAGAUUAGGUAGUUGGUGGGGUAAUGGCCUACCAAGCCUACGAUCUAUAGCUGGUUUUAGAGGAUGAUCAGCAACACUGGGACUGAGACACGGCCCAGACUCCUACGGGAGGCAGCAGUGGGGAAUCUUGGACAAUGGGGGCAACCCUGAUCCAGCCAUGCCGCGUGAGUGAUGAAGGCCUUAGGGUCGUAAAGCUCUUUCGCCUGUGAAGAUAAUGACGGUAGCAGGUAAAGAAACCCCGGCUAACUCCGUGCCAGCAGCCGCGGUAAUACGGAGGGGGUUAGCGUUGUUCGGAAUUACUGGGCGUAAAGCGCACGUAGGCGGACUGGAAAGUUGGGGGUGAAAUCCCAGGGCUCAACCCUGGAACUGCCUCCAAAACUAUCAGUCUAGAGUUCGAGAGAGGUGAGUGGAAUUCCGAGUGUAGAGGUGAAAUUCGUAGAUAUUCGGAGGAACACCAGUGGCGAAGGCGGCUCACUGGCUCGAUACUGACGCUGAGGUGCGU